UACGAAGGGGGGCGAGCGUUGUUCGGAUUUACUGGGCGUAAAGGGCGCGCAGGCGGCGCAUUUUGUCAGGCGUGAAAGCCCCGGGCUUAACUUGGGAAUUGCGCUCGAAACUAUGGUGCUGGAGUGUGGCAGAGGAAGGUGGAAUUCCACGUGUAGCGGUGAAAUGCGUAGAGAUGUGGAGGAACACCGAUGGCGAAGGCAGCCUUCUGGGCCAACACUGACGCUCAUGCACGAAAGCGUGGGGAGCAAACAGG
rnacentral:rRNA from 1 species